rnacentral:rRNA from 1 species
GAUGAACGCUGGCGGUAUGCUUAACACAUGCAAGUCGAACGGACUCUUCGGAGUUAGUGGCGGACGGGUGAGUAACGCGUGAGAAUCUGGCUUUGGGUUCGGGACAACCACUGGAAACGGUGGCUAAUACCGGAUGUGCCGAGAGGUAAAAGAGAAAUUGCCUGAAGAUGAGCUCGCGUCUGAUUAGCUAGUUGGUGAGGUAAAGGCUCACCAAGGCAGCGAUCAGUAGCUGGUCUGAGAGGAUGACCAGCCACACUGGGACUGAGACACGGCCCAGACUCCUACGGGAGGCAGCAGUGGGGAAUUUUCCGCAAUGGGCGAAAGCCUGACGGAGGAAUACCGCGUGAGGGAAGAAGGCUCUUGGGUUGUAAACCUCUUUUCUUAGGGAAGAACAAAAUGACGGUACCUAAGGAAUCAGCAUCGGCUAACUCCGUG